GACGGGUGANCNAUGCUUGGGAAUAUGCCUUAUGGUGGGGGACAACAGUUGGAAACGACUGCUAAUACCGCAUGAUGUCUACGGACCAAAGUGGGGGACCUUCGGGCCUCACGCCAUAAGAUUAGCCCAAGUGGGAUUAGCUAGUUGGUGAGGUAAUGGCUCACCAAGGCGACGAUCCCUAGCUGGUUUGAGAGGAUGAUCAGCCACACUGGGACUGAGACACGGCCCAGACUCCUACGGGAGGCANUUUUNNNGAAUAUUGCACAAUGGGCGCAAGCCUGAUGCAGCCAUGCCGCGUGUGUGAAGAAGGCCUUCGGGUUGUAAAGCACUUUCAGUAAGGAGGAAAGGUUAAGUGUUAAUAGCACUUAGCUGUGACGUUACUUACAGAAGAAGCACCGGCUAACUCCGUGCCAGCAGCCGCGGUAAUACGGAGGGUGCGAGCGUUAAUCGGAAUUACUGGGCGUAAAGCGUACGCAGGCGGUUUGUUAAGCGAGAUGUGAAAGCCCCGGGCUCAACCUGGGAACUGCAUUUCGAACUGGCAAACUAGAGUGUGAUAGAGGGUGGUAGAAUUUCAGGUGUAGCGGUGAAAUGCGUANAGAU
rnacentral:rRNA from 1 species